rnacentral:rRNA from 1 species
GCAUCGAUGAAGAACGCGGCCAGAUGCGAUAAGUAAUACGAAUUGCAGGUCUCUGUGAAUCAUCAAAUUUUCGAACGCACUGCGCCCGGGAGCAAUCUCGGGCACAUUCGGUUGAGUGACAAUUUUAAUUCUUGAUACCCAGUAUCACUGUCGGCGGUUUUUUGAUCGAAAUCCGCUCAGAAUCUUUUUCGGAGCCGCUUUCGGCGAGCUUACUUACCCAACCGAAGAGAGAAAUUUUUUCGGCGGUUCGUCGGCAACCCACUUUCGGCAAAGAAUUUCUACACAAAUUUUCUAAACUUCUGUCCUCAGCUCGAGUGUGACUACCCGCUGAACUUAAGCAUAUCAAUAA